UAGAGUUUGAUCAUGGCUCAGGAUGAACGCUGGCGGCGUGCCUAACACAUGCAAGUCGAACGAACCUUGGGGAACAGAUUACUUCGGUUUGAAGUUCCCCGCUGGUUAGUGGCGGACGGGUGAGUAACGCGUGGGUAACCUGCCGUAUGCAGGGGGAUAACAGUUAGAAAUGACUGCUAAUACCGCAUAAGCGCACAGUAUCGCAUGAUACAGUGUGAAAAACGAUAGUGGCAUACGAUGGACCCGCGUCUGAUUAGCUAGUUGGCGGGGUAACGGCCCACCAAGGCGACGAUCAGUAGCCGGCCUGAGAGGGUGAACGGCCACAUUGGAACUGAGACACGGUCCAAACUCCUACGGGAGGCAGCAGUGGGGGAUAUUGCACAAUGGGGGAAACCCUGAUGCAGCGACGCCGCGUGAGUGAAGAAGUAUUUCGGUAUGUAAAGCUCUAUCAGCAGGAAAGAUAAUGACGGUACCUGACUAAGAAGCACCGGCUAAAUACGUGCCAGCAGCCGCGGUAAUACG
rnacentral:rRNA from 1 species